rnacentral:rRNA from 1 species
AUUUUCCUUAUUUCGUCUUCGCCCCGAUCGUCGAUCUCGCCUUUUUCAUCUGGCUCCUUUUCGAGUUUCCUCUCCGACUUCGAGUGCUCUCGGCUCUCAUAAUAUAGCAGACAAUGUGUUCCGGGCCCGAGUUCGUUUUCUCCACAGCAUACUGAUCUGCGGUUUCUUACAAUUCCGGCUUCUCGGGGGCGGGUUGCGGCCUCCGCUCCAGACUAAGGACUUUUUUUUGGGGUCCACUCCAGCUCGAAAGUUCGGUUCCCUCUGUUUUAGCCCCUUGUUGUUCGUAGUAUUACCCCGGGACCUUUAGUGACCUCGCUGGCUUUGCCGUCC